rnacentral:tRNA from 1 species
CCCUUGGUGGCCUAGUGGUUAAGGCUGCAUUUCUAAUGCAGAGGGCACAGGUUCGAUCCCUGGUGAGGGA